rnacentral:rRNA from 1 species
GGUGCGUACUCAGCUCCUAGGCUUUUUGCUGGUUUUCCCGUCGUAGCCUUCACUGGUUGCGGCGGGUGGCUGGCGAGUUUACUUUGAGAAAAUCAGAGUGCUCAAUACAGGCGUAUCGCUUGAAUGAUUGUGCAUGGAAUAAUAGAAAAGGAUUUCGGUCCUCUUUUAUUGGUUUUGUGGACUGAGAUAAUGGUUAACAGGGACAAACGGGGGCAUUCGUAUCGCUGCGUGAGAGGUGAAAUUCUUGGACCGUAGCGAGACGCCCUACUGCGAAAGCAUUUGCCAAGAAUGUCUUCAUUAAUCAAGAACGAAAGUCAGAGGUUCGAAGGCGAUCAGAUACCGCCCUAGUUCUGACCGUAAACGAUGCCAACUAGCGAUCCGCCGGUGGAUUUUUAGCCCUGGUGGGUAGCUUCCCGGAAACGAAAGUCUUCCGGUUCCGGGGGAAGUAUGGUUGCAAAGCUGAAACUUAAAGGAAUUGACGGAAGGGCACCACCAGGAGUGGAGCCUGCGGCUUAAUUUGACUCAACACGGGGAAACUCACCCGGCCCGGACACCGUAAGGAUUGACAGAUUGAUAGCUCUUUCAUGAUUCGGUGGUUGGUGGUGCAUGGCCGUUCUUAGUUCGUGGAUCGAUUUGUCUGGUUUAUUCCGAUAACGAGCGAGACUCUAGCCUACUAAAUAGUAACGAGAUUAUCAAUGUCUCAGUUGCUUCUUAGAGGGAUUUUCGG